CCCCCGCGGCCCAGCGACGCUGGGCGGGGCGUGCCUGACAGCUCCCCCGCCCCCCGCGUCAGCUGACUGGAGGCCGAAGGAGCCCCGAAGCCUCGGAGGCCUGGAGGAGAGAGCUGGAGCCGAGUGGGACGGCCGGCCUGGGCCCAACCCCCAACCCCCUCUGAGUUGAGGUCCCCCGCACACUCGCCUUCGGUGCGCGCCCCACUUCUGGACCAAGCCGCCGUUCCCAACCCCCUGCCUACACUCACGCCUCCUUAGAUACUCUUUGCACUCCCACCUUCGGCCCGUGUCACCCUCAAGUAGGCUCAGAAUAAGAGCCGGGAUGACGCUUCCCCGGCCCUUUGUUCCCAAGCGGCCCCCGCCCAGUGGGCGAUGCUCCUUGUGUCCUCGGCGCCGCGGGUCGAGUGAAUGUGUGUCGUGCGAUCCUGUGUUUCUGGCGGUCUGCGCAAAUGUACGCGGUGGGGGAGGGAGGGGCUGGGACUCAAGAGUUCUGUUCAAACCUAACUCUUAACCUCUAGGAAGGUUCUUCAGGCCAAGAGGCGCCGGUUUGGUGACUGAGCUCGGAGACAGUGGUCUCACCACUCGGGCUCUGUUCAUUUAUUCCCUCACCCCCAAAAUGCUCCCAAAGAAGGUAAACAAGAAAGAGUCUGGCCAAAGGCUCUGAAUACCUUUCACUGGCCAGUCGUAUGGGAACCUGAGUACUGCGAGGCUCAGAGCCGAGACCAACACCGGUCGGUGCGCCGAAUGGCUCUGAGCUACUGGGGAACGGGGCCCUGUUUUUGUCUGAACGUUUUGUAAGGAUUAAGCUGAUCCAAGCUUCUGAAGGCUGCGCAGAGGUUCAAACAGGCAUAAAGUGCGACCCCAAGUGGCCACGGUGCGCAAAGGCGUCCUGAACUGGUUGGUUCGGUGUCUGCAGGCUUGGACGGCGCCUCGGACCCAUACUGGUCUUACUAAUUCACCCAGCCAAGCCAGGUCUGAACGCAGGCUGUGUGCACCCUGGAAUCCUGGGCAGACUCCCCUGGAACUAUGCAUAGGUCGUGCGAUCCCAUCUUCGAACUCAACCACGAGUUCUUCCCAGUUGCUGUCUUUGAAAUGCCAUACCCAAGCCCUCGGGGUGUGCUUGUGGGCUACUCUCCUCCAGGGAAGGUCCUGAGUUGGAAAGAUCAGUGUCCUAAAAUGAAAACGCCAGGUGGAGAGGCUCCAGGGCUACCCGGUGAGAAACCUCUCUGGAGCGCAGACGGAGAGGUGGGAGGCGGGAACGCAGAAAGCUAGACUCUCAGACGGGGCUGUAGAGCGCCAACGGAGCCUCCCUACCCUGGGCCAGAAAGGCAGGAAAUAUGGGACUUUUCUGAGACCCCCCUCCCCGACCCCGAUUUCAAAAGCGAAUAGAUGUCUUAUUCGCUGGAUCCGGAGACCGGACCCGCCUCCCGCGUCGCUUUCUGGCUUCCCAUCUCAAGACGCGGAAAGAAAAGCGGCCGAAAGCGUGCUAGGUGAGUGUGUCCUGGCUGCCGGGCUGCUCAGGACCGGCGGCCAACAUCGCGCACGGGGGUCCAGUGGCCCGCGUCAAUGACAACCAGACCAGAAUUUUUUUUCCUGUAACAGUUAGAAAGAAAAAUAUGACUCCGAUAAAUAAGAAAAACCCUUUCUCUAUGGUCCUUAGGAAAGACAGGGCAGACAGUGGUCUCAGGAGUCUAUUUUUAACAAAGUGAACGUAUUUGAACUAAAACUUGACCUAAAAUGUUUAGAUCAGUGAAUGGCUGAGAAAAAUCUCAAACCCUUGGAGAAGUGAACUCUUGGCAGAAAUGAUUCGACCGCCUAGGCAGAGAGCCUGCCUAGGCCGUUCGCCUCAACCUCUGGCAGAUGAAGAUGGGCGCUAGGGACCCACUUGCCUUGUCCCAGCCGCGGUCGCACGAGGAGAGCGAGGAGAGCGCACGCUCGGACCUCAGCUCGGCAAUGGGACGUUUUAAGGACAUUUCGGGUUUAGAGUUCCAGGUCUCUGCAAACAGCGGUUCCAGCCUCUACCACCACAGGCGGACUCUAUUAACACCCACCGGGCUCCAGCGUUUGAUCCCUCCCUUAGCCAUGAGACCCAGCGCUUCCCCGAGUGCGCGCCUCACUGCACACCCUCCCCGGAGUACCGCGGAGUUCAGCAGAGCUGUGCUUGUUCCCCGAGUGUCUCGGUCACCACCGAGGACUGAAACCCACUUCUCAAGAACGUGGCCCUUGAAGAGGACUCUUGCAGCCACAGACCAGUAGUUGCAAAAUCCCAGUAGAUGCGCUGCCCUCUCUGGGUUUGGAUUACUCGGCCUUUGUCCUGGCAGUUUUGCUCCUCUUUGUCCCUGUGACUAUAUCUCUGUUGGAGCCACUAUCUUCCUCUGGUCUUUAGCUGAGCUAUUUCGCGGCUCCUACGUUCACUCCCCCCCACCCACCAAACCGUUUCUUUGCUCCUACCCCCGAGAGGGGGAGAGAAAGAGAGAGAGAGAGAGAGAGAGAGAGAGAGAGAGAGAGAGAGAGAGAGAGAGAGAGAGAGAGAGAGAGAGAGAGAGACAGAGAGAUCCUGUGGGUGGAAGGAUAGGAAGGUUGCCCCAAGUGAAGACCUUUGCUCACAGCCUAAUCUAUUUCAUGGUCCAGCCUCCCCAAUUCUAAUUCCUGGUGUGCUCUGCUACAGGGUCUUGGAACUGGAACUCCUGGGCUAAUAACGUUUAUCUCCAGACUGCCACCACGCUCUCGGUAUCCUUGUGCGGAUUCUUCCCGGUCCUGGGUAUCACUGCAGGACGGGAAAAAGGACUGCUCCCCAACCCUGAAAGACAGGGGAGAUGGAGAGGGUGCUGGGACUCAUUUUGACUGGGAGCUUCAUUGGAAUGUUGGAAGCAGAGAGAGAAGCAAUGGGGAAAGAGGCCAGAGGCCCAGGCAACCUCCAGCGAGCCCAAGGAAAGCCGGGAUUGCCAGUGGCUGGAGCCCCUAUACCGAGCAGUUUCUAUCUAGCGCUUCGACUUAUCUUUGAGAUUGUUUUACUCCAAAGCGAGCCCGGUUGCAUCGUCCUGGAAUUCCUUAACUUCACCGCAGUGUUACAGGGACGCUGAGGGGUCCUAGACACAGGGCUGGAAGCACUUCUGUUCUAGGGGAAGAAAUUGUUCCCCAAGGCGUUGAAGAGCGAGAGGCAGAACGUGAGGUUCUCUCGGUGCUGCCCUCGUGGCAUCUCCGCCACGCCAUCAGGGUAACCUGAUAGAUGCCCAGUAGCGCGCCUUCCUGCCUGCGCUUCCAGACUUGGGCGGCGCCCUGGCACCUGUGUUCAGCGCUGAGGUGCGCAGUUCACCCAGGUUUCCCGGAGGGAGGACUGCAGGUGCUUAGUGAGCGAGUAGGCGGAACUGUGAGGGUAGGAGUGAGGUUUAUGGCACGCGGGAGGAGUGUGCCUGUGUAUGCAGUGUGAGUACUGGGUAGGGAACCGCAGCUGUCUAAAUGUAGGGGCUGGAGACUCGCAACCCUCGCAGCCCCCCUAGAUAGCAGGAUCCUACUAUCCGAGAUUGCCGAGCAGAAGCCCUUAAAUUCAAGGAUCCCAGGGCCUGCGUUCUCCAGGGAAGGGACUAGCGUUUGGAAAGAAAGCCUACAGAAGCCUGCCUUCGGACGCGUUGUCACCCACUCUUAUCCUGCAAGAAGCCUUGAGUUCUGCGCUGCCUUCACGGGACCCUAAAGGAAGAAGAUGCCCCUGUUGCCAACACUCCCUGAAAACCUCCGGAAGUCUGUGGCUUCCAAGAGGCGAGUGGGGGGAUGGGGCGAGGGCCUUGAGGUCGUUCCACCCUACCUCUUCCUCCCUCCGACAGCAGCUACUACUUCCACUUAGUCUGGUCGGCCACAUACAACCGCCGUCAGAAUCCAAACCAGCGCUUUCAAGGUUUUGUACUAUGCUAGGUCCUGGUACUCAGGCCCUGUAGCAACCAUAGUUUUAUCAUCUGCCGGUCAAAGAUGGAGAACCCCUCCCGCGCUCAGCAGAGGAGCAGGGAUCUGUACUGCAGAAGAAAUGUCCAUUUCCCUUCGCUUUAUUUUAGUGUGUCUGAGAGAAAAUUGUAGGAUACACACCAGGCUCACAUUCCAUAACCCACUGGGUAGUAUGGCCUCAAAGAGAUGUUUCUCGAAAACAUUCACCUCCACCCACACAGGAAUUUGAAAUAACUUUUGUUGGAUUCUGAUUCUCACAUCUCUCACAGGGCAGAAGUUCUUGUUAUUCCUACUUUGCACAGAUUGGCAGGCAGGUAGCUGGGGAUACACAUCCAGAGUCCUAAGAGCUUCUUGUUCCUCUAUCAGCCCACCUAUAGAGGUCGCUGUAGUGGGCAAGGUCAUCACUAGCUCACUCAAAAACAGAGGGAAGACUCUCAGAGGUUAAGUGAUUCAUUUCAAUUUACACAGAUGUAAUAAACCAGAACUUCUGACUUUCAGUAUCCUGGGCAGUGGGGGAAGGGUUCCUCUACCAUGAGUGGACAGCCCUCCAGGGAUGCAGGUGCCUGUAUGGGUCUUCUCCAGCUGCUGUCUCUUUGGGGAUUUCCAACUCUCUGAGAGACCAGUGGCUGUUCUCGUCACUGCUGAGCCUCUUCCCAAUCCUAAGGGAAGUGUCUGACUGCAUUUUUUUUGUGGAUGCCACAAGAACCCCUGGGUUCCCCCUCUUCCCUGAUUGUAUGGGGAGAGCAAAAAAAAAAAAUAAAUAAAUAAACAAGGUGAACAAGGUGAACCAUCAGCCAAAGGAAAGGUUUACAACCUUCCCAUCCUGUCCCUCACUCUUGGUCUCCUGACCACGAAGGUUGGCUCUGAAUCUCAGUCCUGACUUUGGCGGCCCUGCCUGUGUCCUGAGUUUGACCUUAAGUAUCAGUCAAAUCUCUCUUAAACAGCUGAGAAAGAAGGAUACGGAGAAUAAAAAGGGAGAGGCUUGGGAGAUAGAAGAAAAGGGAGAAGGAGAAGAGGAAGAGAAGGGGCAGAGAAAGAUGAGGGGAGGGAGAAAGAAGAAAGAAGUGAAAAGAAGGGGGAUGUGGCUUGUGGUCAAGUAGAAGGAGCUGACGCUGCUAACAGCCACAGCUGGGUGAAGGAUCGCCAGUGCCACUCCCUGUUCACACCUGAUGGCGACCCAAGGCCAUCAUUACAGACACUGAAACCACAUCCUGGCUUUCACCUCUCACAGCCUGACCAAAACAGCGGUCUCCCUCCACCUCGGGCCUCCAGCUCCCCACCUGGCACCCACCCCCCUCAUCCAAGCCAUCCUCAUCCACGGCUUAAAGACAGCAGAGGCUUUGGCUAUGGACUGAUUGACUUUUUUCAUGGAGCUAGUCAGUCUUGCUCUAUGAGACCGGUCAUUCUAGCUCCGGAGCUCUACUCCCUCAAAGGACUGCAGUCUCCCACCAGACUCUAAUUAUCCUUUACGCCCCCCAUUAAUGGUCCAGGCAUACCCGUUCCUUUAAGUUCCUCCACCUACUAAGCUGCUUUCAGCCAUGGGUCUCUGCACAUGACAGCAUCCUCUACCCAGAAUGACUUGGCUGCUUGGGUCCGAAGGACUUAGUAAAGGUAGGAUGGGGAUCUUCCCAGGCUUCAGGAGGACUUGGGUGGUAGCUGGGUUUGGGGGGUCAGAAGAGAUCCACAGCAUUCUAGGAAAACUCCAUUCCUUGUUGUCAGACAACACAGCUCCGGCCUCUGCCCCUCCUUUCUGCCAGGUGGAUCAGGGAGACCUCAGGUUUGAGAAAGGCUUUAGGAAACAAUACAGGGGAGGCCAAAUGCGGUUUGAUCAGUCAAUCCAAAUUAUUUUCACUUAAGAGAAUGCAUUAAAAAGACAGAGUAUUCAACCACACAGAUUAUGGAAACACAUUUGGAGAAACUCCACGAAAUGGCCUUGAGCUUCUGGAGGCUGCUCCUGGGUUCCCAGUAGCCAGCAUAAAACCCACAGACUAACCCAAGGAAUGGGGUGAUUUGGUUCCCCUAACCCACUUGCCUGGACGCUCCUCCAGCUGGGGAGCCGAUUUCUGGCUACUGAGGAAGUGAACAGCACCCUUCCAUCGCAGAGGCUGAUAGAAUGGUGCUGAUGCUGGACUGCGAUGAGGCCCAGGGUGCAGUCAGGCAGGCACUGCAGUGACCACUCUGGCUCUUUUUCCCUUUCUUGACUUUAAGAUGAAAUCUACAUGACAGAUGCACAAGACUGGGUUCCUGGAGUAAAAUAUGCAACAAUGUUGCUUGUAGCAUCUCUGUCUCCAGCCUCAGCUAGCUGGUUUUACUCAGUGACCUCCAAGUCAUAUACCCACAUCUGCUUCUUUCUUUUUAAUGUAUGUGCAAAAUUCUGCCAAACGGAUGCCCUGACAUUUUUAUUUUUAUUCUUCUUCUUUUUUUUUUAAGAGCAAGUCCCAUAUUGAUGGGCGUUUAAGGCAUUUCUGAGCUUCUCUGUUGCAAACGAUGCUGCCACCAACAGCUUUUAUGCAUGUUCCUUUUCACACAUGUGCAAGCUUUUCUCUUCAAAGCAAGGAGAGGGAUUGCGAGAUUGAAAGAUAGGUGUAUUAUCAAUGUUAAUAUUGUCAAAUUAGCCUCCAACAAGAUUGUACCUAUUUAAUUUCCCAUCUAGAAGCUAGGAUGGUAAUCCAUCAACAAUGGAUUUUUAUCAAGGUUUUUCAUUUUUAUGUCAAUUCUGCAAGCAUUGCUGGGAAGCGAGGGCUCCUCCAUCCAGGAAAUUGCAGGCCUUGCAUUGCAGCUGGGAAGGUGCUGUGUUGACACGGUGACAGUACAUUCAUAGUGCCAUCAGGCCUCAAGAAAAUGACUGCUAGAGGAGAGGUAGUGGCAGAGAAGGCUGAAGAGAGGAGGUGAGAUUUGCCUGUGGCUUUGCACAUGCAGAAAUUUAUCAAACACAGAAGCAAGAAAACUUGACAGAGUCACCCGAGCAAGGGCCCUGUCUCCUGGGCCCCUGGGUGCAGCUGUUCCGGAGACAGAGCCACUCCAGUGGCCAAAGAACUGGAGCUCUAUCCCACUCUAUCCCAGGAGUCAGCAAACCAUCUCCACACGCACAGGCAUCCUUUUCAGUCACUGUGGGGCACAUAGUAGGUGCUUAACAGACAUUUUAUGGAAAGACAAAGAAACGCCUGAACGGUAUUUAAACAGUCUGCUUCCUUCUCUUCCAUCUCUUCCAUCUUUCAGUGACAGAACUGGGAAGCUGCUUGCUUUCUAAAUGCUGGAGAGACGGUAGAGACAAAUCCAGCCUAGGAACCCUCUCCUGGGUCGCAGCCCCAUCCCGGCCUUGUGCCAGAUUCUUUCACCUCUGCCUGUUAGAGAUUGCUUUUGGUUUCUGUGUUGACAACCCUUGUUUCUGUGUUUAGAGCGGCUGUUCAGUGCCAUUUCCUGAUUUAAUAUCGGUCCCGGCACAGAGCAAGGAUGCACAGUUAGCAGAUUUUGCUCCAAGUAUUUUUCAAGCUCCCUUUUGAUGUAAGGGUUGGGUUUUCAGCAUCCCUGAUCUCGACAGGCAUGCAGAGGGGAGGAGGGGCUGAGGGAAGAAGGAGUUGAGAACAGGAGAUGGAGGGGAGGGAAUCAGGACCCUGAGGGCCCCUGGCAGAGCCGAUCCACACAGGAGCAAGCAGAAGAGUCGGAAGCAAGACUGCCACUACCCACUGUGUGACUGGGAAGGGGACAUAGCUGUCUCUGUGACAUAAACAAAAGGCUCAAAUAAAGUAGCACAGCGCAACUCAAAACACCAGGAGGCAAAACCAAAAUUAACCUGGAUCCCAGCAGCACUGGGUUUUGUGUGACUUUGAUGGAAAGUCUCCUGGACCCAAAGACUUCUGUGAGAUGAGAAGAAAGAAUAGACUAAAUACUUCUUGCUCUUCCAUUAAGAACUAGCACUCUGUUAGUGCAAAAAGAAAACUUUAGCAACUGAUGCAUGUUUGGUAGAGGCGGGGGGGGGGGGUGGGGGCUCACAGACCCACAGUUGAGGACAGGACUCAAGAAGAGACCAGCAUUUUCUGACAGUGACAUCCCUAUCAGUAUUUCCUGAUACUGACACCUCCAACAGCAUUCCCAUCAACAUCCCCAUCAGCAUCCCCAUCAACAUCCCCUUCAGCCUCCCCAACAGCAUUCCUAUCAACAUCUUCAUCAGCAUCCCUAGCAGCAUCCCCAUCAGCAUCCAUAAAGCUACUAGGUUUCAUUUCUCCCUCUUCAAACACCCAUUUGCAGGAUUCUCCCUCUGAGACCUUCUGUGUCAAUUUAGGUCUUCUAAGAAGCAAGCAAAAAGAUGUACUAGGGUAUCACUGGGAAGGAGGAAGGAAGGGGGAGCAGGAUGGGCAGGGAGGUCACAGACACCUGUGAAAAGAAAACAAGAAGGAAGAAGCUGAAGUUUCACCUGAGCUGGAGAAGUUACAAGCUCCUGGGGAUUUGAGGCUCCCUAUCUCAUGGGCGUGAACCAGGUCCCACACCAGUGCUGGAUUAUGGGCUGGAAGCAGCCAGAAGUACAGCCAAGGGUCAAACACAAGCAUGGGAGUGCCAGGGCAGGGAUUGUCUAUCCACAGUGCUCCUACAACAAUUGCUCAUGAAGGAGACCUCACCCAGGCCCUUCCUGGCUAUCCCAUCCACUGGCUCAAUGCAGAUUUUCCCAAGUACUUACUCAUCAGCAAGCAUCUUACUGGGGGGUUUUCUGCAUGCAAGGGAUGAUGUACAGUUAGUAUUUCUUAUCUCAUUCAAUCUUCCUCAGUAAUCUUGUAGAUAGGCGUUAUGAUCAUGGUUGCCUCCAUGUCAUAAACAAGGAGCUAAAGUUCACGUCGACCGAAUCACUUGCCAGAGGCCACAGCUACCAAACGGUUUAGCGUAGAUCCAAAGUCCCUUUGACUCUGGCCAUUGCUCUAAAUAGCUUUUACCUGGAAAAAGUCCAUAAAGGGAAUAGAGAAGCUCCUUUCCCUCUGUGCACCCACUUCUCCUGUUACUCAAUCUCCUUCUGAUCUCCUUAGGGUCCAUGCCCGCCGAUUUCCAGGUUCGUCUGCUAGUCCACUCCAAGCAAGAGACACAGCAUGUCCACCAGAAAGCACCAAACUCCUGUUACAUCUGCGUCCAAUGCCGAGAUUAGCUUUUCUAGAACCAAAACUAACUCUAGACCGAAUGUGGGUGCUCACAGAGGAAAAUUGGUCCAGGACAACAAAAGAACACUUUUGGAAGUAAACGAGCAAAAUUUGGGCUCUGCGCGAGGACCACUUGGGCGCUGCACAAGGGAGCUGCCUACUGACUGUCCUAGAACAAGGUCAACCACAUCGCUUUUCUUUCACCUUGCCUCGUGUGCUUAAGAGUCUGUCAUGACUCUGGGCGGACCCCAAAUACCCCAGGUACUUCUUUUCUGUCCCCUCUCCAAAACCUGCAGUUGGUCCCUGUCGCCAGCCAGAUGAGGGCUGGGCCUUGUGCAUUGCUUUAAAGGUCUGCCCUCUGAUCUCUCCCUUCCCAGCCUCCCCUGCAUGGUCAUCUGUUCCUCUGUAUCUUUGUGAUGUUCUCCCAGGCCUGGAAUAUCUUCCUCAGAUAUAUGGAAGCCCUCACUUGUUGGAGCCCUCCAGAAGAGUUCUUUCUUCUCUUCUGUACUGAAGAAGGGGGUUCUAACUUCUCUUGGAAUAAUCCCAAGGGGUUAUCUAAAAAUACAUGUGAGCACUGAUACUGGCCCCAUUACACCCUGGCAUGGUGUUGUCAACGCAGGGGAGCGGGGCAGGGAGGCGGUAGGAAGGGAAGACUAAGAGCGCCUGUCUUGACAGCUUGUUGUAUUUCUCUGUCUGGAAGUUCAGCUGGGUGGGGGUGGGGAACAGGGAUAUUCACUAUGCUUCUCCUGUCUCACCCAGGGGCUCAGAAGCACUACUUUCUCAGACCAAAUUGAGUACCCCACCCCAUCCCCCACAGGGGCCUCCCAGAAGGGACAGUGUCUCCAGAUUGGAGACCACAGUUUCCAGGAUCUCCCUGAGGACCUCAGGGCUGGCUGCCAAUCAGACCUGGGAUCAGCCAUAGUCCAUUAGUGAAUGCCCUGGAUGCAAGGCGCCAACACAACCCCCCCCAGGCAUUGGCGCCAGAGGCUGCCCAGGGAACCCAAAGCCACCUUCAAUCAUUAUCUUGGCUUUUGUCAUUAGACAAACUGGACCAUGGACUACAGGCUGUUUUCUAGGUGAGCAUCCUUUCCAGCUCCACCGCCCCCACCACACACACAGCUACUCUGAACUCACAAACUAACCACCAGUGUUGGGUGUGGGUACAGCCCCCAUGGGAGGCCUGGCCUUUUACAGCAUCCCACCAUGCCACUGAGGCAGUGUGGGCUUCUAAGUUGCUAUCCUUCUCGGAGACACUCUUAUCUCCUCUGGAAGAUGGGGCGAUAGCAAAAGGACACACUCGGGCUUCGAUAACCAGGGCUACAUGUUAGAGCCCGAAGAACUUGGCUCCCAGAGGGGCUCUGCGCCUUUUCUGUGAUUUUGCUUCAAGUUUGAGGCCCUGGGAGGUGAGGUCAGCAGGCUGAAACAUCUAUAGGGGUGACAAGAGAGGACUACCUAGAUGACAGGCCAGACAAGCCCUGAUGGCUGAAGCCACGCUGGCAGGCUUGAUUGUCCCCCCUACUCCGAUCCCCCACACCACCCUUUCAACCUGUAAAGAAUCCUUGCUAGAACAAACCUAACUCAGCAGUGAUGGGAGCAUAGAAGGACCGAAUGUUCAGGCACAAGUGCCCAAAGCAGGGGUUCUAAUCCUAACUUAGUGGGACAUUUACUAUGUGAUCUUCAGCAAGUCACUUAACCUCUCUGGGAUUUUGUUCAUUUUUCUGGGUAGGUAAAACCCCACUUAAAUAAAGAUUGGACUUUAUGUUCUGCACCUGCACCUCCCACCUGAAAGCUCUUGUGUGGAGAGAAGACAACUUGGAGAGAUGGGAGAAGAGUGCAGUACCUGCUCCGGCCACUGGGGGCUGACUUACUCCACCCUGUACACACUUUUAACUACCAGGUGCCUGUUCCUAGGAAGGGUUUAAAAGGCACCCAGUGUAGGAAAGGGCAGGGAAUUUCUCCUUUGACAGGUCACGGGUUGCACAGCACUGUGUCUAAAACCACAGGCUCCGAGCCUGAUGUCAGAGUUCAAAUCCCGGGUCUUACUAACUGGGUGACCUUUGAGCAAGGUGCCUACACUGCCUGUGUCUAUGCUUCCUUCCGUGUCUAAUGGAAUGAACGGCAGUAGCCUUUUGAGCCUGGUGAGUCAGAGCACCCUGGAGAGUGACUGUGCACCAAGCAGUUCCCUAUCUGCUACUUCUCAAAGCCACCAUGGAAACACUCCAGGAUGCUGAAAGGCAGACAUGAAACCUCUCACCUGGGCCUGCGGCUCAGUCAGCGCGUUUGCCACCAGCCCCUGCCCAUUCCCACUUCUGUUCAAUAUGAUCGAUGUUCUCAACUGACUUGUUUUGCAAAACAAGUUCAUACAGCAAUGGAAACAGAGACAGGAGUAGGAGUUAAUUAAGGGCAGGGUGAACCACACAUCGAUCCUAACAUCGUUAAAAGAGAGACAACCAGACUUUAGGACAUGAUUCAACAAGGAGAACGCAACACUAUCUACAAAGGCUUCCAGACAAAGAUCGAAUAUGACAACACCCUAACUACUGGCUUCUGGGAAGCACUGGGGAUGAAUGGAGGAGCCCCCCCCCCACACACACACACACUGAAUAGCACCAGGAAGGGGGCAUCAGUCACAUCCACAAGAAGAUAUAGUCUGGUUAGUGCAAGACCUAGGGCUACCCAGAGAUAAGCAGACAUUCCAAAAGAAACUCGUGGCACUUUCAAAAAAAAGAAAUUAAUGACAUUUCUCUUAUUUUCAAUGUGGACUAUGAAAAAAGAUUCUCAAGAAGCAUGCCAAUUAAAUGCAAUUUCUGAUAGCAUGGCCCAAACACACAAAAUGUAAGGAUGUAUUUUUGAGA